CGCACAGUGUAACGGAGUUGAUGAAACCCCUCGUGUGCUUUCUGACAGUCACCGUCUCCUAAAACAGAACGCUAGCGCCGUCGAUAAAACUCUGGUUAAAGAGAAGACUUCGGCUCUGUCAGUUGGCGAGUAUACUGACAUGUGCUAAAUUAUUAUUAUUAUUAUUGAAUUACAACCUUUUGCUUUCGGAUAUUUCAAUUACUAGUUUUGAGUGAUUAGGAUUUAAGAUAGGCUUAUCGAGCUAUCACGAGUUACUUGUGGCACCAUUAGGCUGGUUUCGGAUAGACAAGAAGAAGACCAGUUUUUCUUUGAGCUGUCUUCACCGUAGGACUGCUACUAGAACUGUCUUUUCCUGAAAUCCGAACACUGUACGAUGUUGCCUCGAAGAUCUUUUCACAAAUUGUUUGAACGGUUGUAUGAGAUCGUCGAACUAAUUAUUUAUGAAUAUUUUCAAGUACGAUUACUUUCUAAGGGCUUUUGCCUAGAAAAACACGUUUAUCGAAUAAAAAGUUUCACUACACAAACAAAAAAAAAUUAAUUUUGUUCACCUUAUACAACAGGUAUCUUUGAUCCCUGUAACACUGGGUAUUUUUGAUCCCUAUCAUUAGUUCUCUCAAACACUUUCGAAAUGUAUAGAAAUAGAAAAUUAUCAUUUUCAUAACGUGCCUUACACUAUAAAUUGACCUAAAAUGUUUUUUCCGUGAACAAAUGAUGGUAUAAGUUAUUCAACGUUGAAAAUGACAGUUUACGGCAAAUACUUAU